CCUACGGGUGGCAGCAGUGAGGAAUAUUGGUCAAUGGGCGCAAGCCUGAACCAGCCAAGUCGCGUGAGGGAUGACGGUCCUAUGGAUUGUAAACCUCUUUUGUCGGGGAGUAAGGCCCGCCACGUGUGGCGGGCCGGAGAGUACCCGAAGAAAAAGCAUCGGCUAACUCCGUGCCAGCAGCCGCGGUAAUACGGAGGAUGCGAGCGUUAUCCGGAUUUAUUGGGUUUAAAGGGUGCGUAGGCGGAAGGUUAAGUCAGCGGUAAAAUUUCGGUGCUCAACACCGGCCGGCCGUUGAAACUGGUCGGCUUGAGUGAGCGAGAAGUAUGCGGAAUGCGUGGUGUAGCGGUGAAAUGCAUAGAUAUCACGCAGAACUCCGAUUGCGAAGGCAGCAUACCGGCGCUCAACUGACGCUGAGGCACGAAAGCGUGGGGAUCGAACAGGAUUAGAUACCCUAGUAGUC
rnacentral:rRNA from 1 species